rnacentral:rRNA from 1 species
CGUAGCCGCGGGAAUACGGAGGGAGCUAGCGUUAUUCGGAAUUACUGGGCGUAAAGCGCACGUAGGCGGCUUUGUAAGUUAGAGGUGAAAGCCUGGUGCUCAACACCAGAACUGCCUUUAAGACUGCAGAGCUAGAACGUCGGAGAGGUGAGUGGAAUUCCGAGUGUAGAGGUGAAAUUCGUAGGUAUUCGGAAGAACACCAGUGGCGAAGGCGGCUUACUGGCUCAUUCUAGACGCUGAGGUGCGAAAGCGUGGGGAGCAAACAGGAUUAGAUACCCCGGUAGUCCCUGUCUCUUAUACA